ACUCGAGUGGCGAACGGGUGAGUAACACGUGGGUGAUCUGCCCUGCACUUCGGGAUAAGCCUGGGAAACUGGGUCUAAUACCGGAUAGGAGCCAUUUUUAGUGUGAUGGUUGGAAAGUUUUUCGGUGUAGGAUGAGCUCGCGGCCUAUCAGCUGUUGGUGGGGUAAUGGCCUACCAAGGCGGCGACGGGUAGCCGGCCUGAGAGGGUGGACGGCCACAUUGGGACUGAGAUACGGCCCAG
rnacentral:rRNA from 1 species